rnacentral:rRNA from 1 species
GAAUUUUGGACAAUGGGGGCAACACUGAUCCAGCCAUCCCGCGUGUGCGAUGAAGGCCUUCGGGUUGUAAAGCACUUUUGGCAGGGAAGAAAAGGCUCUGGCUAAUAACUGGAGUUGAUGACUGUUCCUGCAGAAUAAGCACCGGCUAAUCACGUGCCCGCAGCCGCGGUAAUACGUCGGGUACACGCGUUAAUCGGAAUUACUGGGCGUAAAGCGUGCGCAGGCAGUUUGGCAAGAAGGAUGUGAAAUCCCAGGGCUUAACCUUGGAACUGCAUUCUUAACUGCCAGGCUAGAGUAUGUCAGAGGGGGGUAGAAUUCCACGUGUAGCAGUGAAAUGCGUAGAGAGGUGGAGGAAUACCGAUGGCGAAGGCAGCCCCCUGGGAUAAUACUGACGCUCAUGCACGAAAGCGUGGGGAGCAAACA